UUUAACACAAUUGCAUUUUGAAUAAAUAUUCUCACCCUCUCUCUCUCUCUUAGGUCCUAUGAUGAUUUCUUAGGUUUGAGGGACCUUUUCUUGCAUUUGUGUCGAUGAGGGGAAGGCCUGCUGCUGAAUAGAUCUAAACUGUGAAUGAAUGUAGCUGCCUCCCAUGCUAUCAUGACAAGAGGCCUCGGUCCAUCUGACUCACGCAUCAAGGUCUUACGGGAGGACAACUUUCAAGUUCAUGGGGGUGCUGUCAUGAGCACACAGUGGCAGCUGCACCAGGGCACAUGCACAGAAGGGAAUCGGCAGAGAGACGUAGCUGGACCAUAGCAUCCUGGACAUGGUCUUUCAGCCUCAACCAGAACAGAGCUUGUGACUGUGCUGGAGGAAAUACAGUUCAUAUUUUCAAGAAACC
rnacentral:lncRNA from 1 species